UGGGGAAUAUUGCACAAUGGGCGAAAGCCUGAUGCAGCGACGCCGCGUGAGGGAUGACGGCCUUCGGGUUGUAAACCUCUUUCAGUAGGGAUGAAGCGCAAGUGACGGUACCUGCAGAAGAAGCACCGGCUAACUACGUGCCAGCAGCCGCGGUAAUACGUAGGGUACGAGCGUUGUCCGGAAUUACUGGGCGUAAAGAGCUCGUAGGCGGUUUGUCACGUCGUCUGUGAAAUCCUAGGGCUUAACCCUGGACGUGCAGGCGAUACGGGCUGACUUGAGUACUACAGGGGAGACUGGAAUUUCUGGUGUAGCGGUGGAAUGCACAGAUAUCAGGAAGAACACCGAUGGCGAAGGCAGGUCUCUGGGUAGUAACUGACGCUGAGGAGCGAAAGCAUGGGUAGCGAACAGG
rnacentral:rRNA from 1 species